rnacentral:rRNA from 1 species
UACGUAGGGUGCAAGCGUUGUCCGGAAUUAUUGGGCGUAAAGAGCUCGUAGGCGGUCUGUCGCGUCGGCUGUGAAAACCUGGGGCUUAACUCCGGGCCUGCAGCCGAUACGGGCAGACUAGAGUUCGGCAGGGGAGACUGGAAUUCCUGGUGUAGCGGUGAAAUGCGCAGAUAUCAGGAGGAACACCGGUGGCGAAGGCGGGAUCCUGGGCCAGUACUGACGCUGAGGAGCGAAAGCGUGGGGAGCAAACAGG